GUAGUCCACGCCCUAAACGAUGUCAACUGGUUGUUGGAAGGGUAACCUUUUAGUAACGAAGCUAACGCGUGAAGUUGACCGCCUGGGGAGUACGGUCGCAAGAUUAAAACUCAAAGGAAUUGACGGGGACCCGCACAAGCGGUGGAUGAUGUGGUUUAAUUCGAUGCAACGCGAAAAACCUUACCUACACUUGACAUGCCAGAAAUCCUGCAGAGAUGUGGGAGUGCCGCAAGGAAUCUGGGCACAGGUGCUGCAUGGCUGUCGUCAGCUCGUGUCGUGAGAUGUUGGGUUAAGUCCCGCAACGAGCGCAACCCUUGUCACUAGUUGCUACAUUUAGUUGGGCACUCUAGUGAGACUGCCGGUGACAAACCGGA
rnacentral:rRNA from 1 species